GACGAACGCUGGCGGCGUGCUUAACACAUGCAAGUCGAACGGAAAGGCCUUUUCGGAGGUACUCGAGUGGCGAACGGGUGAGUAACACGUGGGCGAUCUGCCCUGCACUCUGGGAUAAGCCUGGGAAACUGGGUCUAAUACCGGAUAGGACCGCACUUUAGUGUGUGUGGUGGAAAGUUUAUUCGGUGUAGGAUGAGCCCGCGGCCUAUCAGCUUGUUGGUGGGGUAAUGGCCUACCAAGGCGGCGACGGGUAGCCGGACUGAGAGGUUGGUCGGCCACAUUGGGACUGAGAUACGGCCCAGACUCCUACGGGAGGCAGCAGUGGGGAAUAUUGCACAAUGGGCGCAAGCCUGAUGCAGCGACGCCGCGUGGGGGAUGACGGCCUUCGGGUUGUAAACUCCUUUCGCCAGGGACGAAGCGUUUUGUGACGGUACCUGGAGAAGAAGCACCGGCUAACUACGUG
rnacentral:rRNA from 1 species